CAACACUCAAAGCUAAGACCAUCUUCUUCCUGCCUCUCGUCACCAUGGGCUCCAUGCUCCUCUGCUGUGUGGUCUUUUGUCUCCUGGGAACAGGCUCCAUGGAUGUUGGUAUUACCCAGACUCCAAGGAAUAGGAUAGCAAACACAGGAAAGAGCACUGUACUGGAAUGUUCUCAGACUAAGGGUCAUGAGUCUAUGUACUGGUACCGACAAGACCCAGGACUGGGGGUCCGGCAGAUCUACUACUCCCACGGUGUCGAUGAUAUUAACAAAGGAGAUGUCUCCGAUGGGUACAGAGUCUCUCACGACCUGAGCAAGGUGACCCCACCCAAGGUGGCUGUGUUCGAGCCGUCAGCAGCAGAGAUCUCCCGGACCCAGAAGGCCACGCUCGUGUGCCUGGCCACGGGCUUCUACCCCGACCACGUGGAGCUGAGCUGGUGGGUGAACGGGAAGCAGGUCGAGACGGGGGUCAGCACGGACCCUCAGCCCCACAAGGAGGACCCCAGCCGCAAUGACUCCAGCUACUGUCUGAGCAGCCGGCUGAGGGUCUCCGCCAGCUUCUGGUACAACCCUCGCAACCUCUUCCGCUGCCAAGCCUGGUUCCACGGGGUCUCGGACGAGGACGAGUGGAAGCAGGACAGGCCCAAACCCGUCACCCAGAACAUCAGUGCCGAGGUCCGGGGCCGAGCAGACUGUGGCCUCACCUCGGCGUCCUACCAGCAAGGGGUCCUGUCUGCCACCAUCCUCUAUGAGAUCCUGCUGGGGAAGGCCACCCUCUAUGCUGUGCUGGUCAGCGCCCUGGUGCUGAUGGCCAUGGUCAAGAGAAAGGAUUCCUGAAGCCAGCUUAGAGGUGAAUCCAGCUUAGAGGUGGAGCCAGGAGCUUCCAGCCUGUUAUGGCCCUGGUGUGAAUUCUGCUUUUUCCAUUCCUACCCAGUGCUUCAGAAGAGCUGCUCUCAUCUCUCUACGCACCCCAGUAUCUACCCCUGUGUGCAUGCACCCAAACACUCAUGACCAAAAUCUCCCUAGCCCAAGGGGGACCCUGGCGGGCCUGAACGGAUUCAGCCAAUAAAAAUGGCCUGAUCUGG